GUGUUUCUCGAAUCGUUGGAUGGUUUGGACUCCUAGAGAUGUAUUUCAAUCGCUGGGAGUGUCGAAAAAUAUUUUAUCUCUUUCGAAUAAUCUCCAGGAAGAACUCCGUUGAUUGCUCCUUGCAAGAACUUGAUAAUCGAUGCCGAUGUUGCCAAUGCUUGUCAAAGUCCUCUUUCAGAAUGUCCAUAGAAUGUUAUGUUACCCUUAUUUAUAGUUGUAGGGAGUAGGCCUGGUUGCUUGUGAUUGCCCGAAAUAUGUCACUUUGAUACUUGGCGACUUUUGACUGAUCAUUGAAUUUGAAUGAGAUUUCCACAUCAUUUGUACAUGUGGCGUCGUCUCGUUGCUCUUGGAUUUGAUGGGGACGCCAAGUCACGCUGACACGUGGCAUGAGUCUGGGCUCCAAAGUGUAAUGGACCCUGGUCUUGAAUUUAAUAAAAUGGACUAUUUAAUUUGUAGGGCCCAAAUUAAUUAAUCAACCCAAAUGAUCAUGAAUUAAAUAUAAAUUUUGUAUGAGUUUAGCCCAUUGAAUUUUUAUAUGUCUACAAAUACCCUUUACUUUGAGACUUGUCGAUGUGUAGGCUUGGCGAAACUUGACGACGAGACUUGAAAUACUCAUGAAUGUGUUUUUAUUUUUGUGACUUCAAAGGUAUUUGUUUCUCAUCGGUGCA
rnacentral:lncRNA from 1 species